AGGCAUCAGCAAGAUUCGAACUCGCAAUCUUCUGUUUAUUAGACGAGUGCUUUAACCAACUAAUCUAUGGCACC